UUGAACGCUGGCGGCAUGCUUUACACCUGCAAGUCGAACGGCAGCGCGGGCUUCGGCCUGGCGGCGAGUGGCGAACGGGUGAGUAAUGCAUCGGAACGUGCCCAGUAGUGGGGGAUAGCCCGGCGAAAGCCGGAUUAAUACCGCAUACGACCUGAGGGUGAAAGCGGGGGACCGAAAGGCCUCGCGCUAUUGGAGCGGCCGAUGUCGGAUUAGCUAGUUGGUGGGGUAAAGGCUUACCAAGGCGACGAUCCGUAGCUGGUCUGAGAGGACGACCAGCCACACUGGGACUGAGACACGGCCCAGACUCCUGCGGGAGGCAGCAGUGGGGAAUUUUGGACAAUGGGGGCAACCCUGAUCCAGCCAUGCCGCGUGCGGGAAGAAGGCCUUCGGGUUGUAAACCGCUUUUGUUCGGGAAGAAAUCCUCUGGGCUAAUACCCCGGGGGGAUGACGGUACCGGAAGAAUAAGCACCGGCUAACUACGUG
rnacentral:rRNA from 1 species